rnacentral:rRNA from 1 species
CAGCAGCCACGGUAAAACGAAGGGUGCAAGCGUUAAUCGGAAUUACUGGGCGUAAAGCGUGCGUAGGCGGUUUGUUAAGUCUGUUGUGAAAUCCCCGGGCUCAACCUGGGAAUGGCAAUGGAUACUGGCAAGCUAGAGUGUGUCAGAGGAUGGUGGAAUUCCCGGUGUAGCGGUGAAAUGCGUAGAGAUCGGGAGGAACAUCAGUGGCGAAGGCGGCCAUCUGGGACAACACUGACGCUGAGGCACGAAAGCGUGGGGAGCAAACAGGAUUAGAUACCCCAGUAGUCCCUGUCUCUUAUAC